rnacentral:rRNA from 1 species
AUUGAACGCUGGCGGCAGGCCUAACACAUGCAAGUCGAGCGGAGCGGCGGACGGGGGAGUAAUGCCUAGGAAUCUGCCUGGUAGUGGGGGAUAACGUCCGGGAACGGGCGCUAAUACCGCAUACUAUAAGAUGAGCUUAGGUCGGAUUAGCUAGUUGGUGGGGUAAAGGCCUACCAAGGAGACGAUCCGUAACUGGUCUGAGAGGAUGAUCAGUCACACUGGAACGGAGAGACGGCCCAGAGUGCUACGGGAGGGGGCAGUGGGGAAAAUGGGACAAGGGGCGAAAGCCUGAGGCAGCGACGCGGAGUGGGGGAUGAGGGCGUUCGGGUUGUAAACCUAUUUAGCUAGCGAACGGGUAGGUGGCGAGGAAGCGCCGGCUAACUACGUGCCAGCAGCCGCGGUAAUAC